rnacentral:rRNA from 1 species
CCUACGGGAGGCAGCAGUGGGGAAUAUUGGGCAAUGGGCGCAAGCCUGACCCAGCAAUGCCGCGUGAAGGAAGAAGGCUUUCGGGUUGUAAACUUCUUUGACAGGGGAAGAGCAGAAGACGGUACCCUGAAAACAAGCCACGGCUAACUACGUGCCAGCAGCCGCGGUAAUACGUAGGUGGCAAGCGUUGUCCGGAUUUACUGGGUGUAAAGGGCGUGUAGCCGGGAAGGCAAGUCAGAUGUGAAAUCUGGAGGCUCAACCUCCAAAUUGCAUUUGAAAAUGUUGUUCUUGAGUACUGGAGAGGCAGACGGAAUUCCUUGUGUAGCGGUGAAAUGCGUAGGUAUAAGGAGGAACACCAGUGGCGAAGGCGGUCUGCUGGACAGCAACUGACGGUGAGGCGCGAAAGCGUGGGGAGCAAACAGGAUUAGAUACCCGAGUAGUC